rnacentral:ncRNA from 1 species
AAUCGUUCCUACGGCAUACCCUUACGGGUUGAGGGAUAGCAGAGGACGAGAGGCUUGAACCUCAGUAACAGCAGCCCUAUGGCUGGAAAACUGAAAAAGCACGAAAUUCAAGUAGAGGCUGGUAGGUUCAUUCUCGAACGCCUUGGACUUG